rnacentral:rRNA from 1 species
AUUGAACGCUGGCGGCAUGCCUUACACAUGCAAGUCGAACGGUAACGGGCCUUCGGGUGCCGACGAGUGGCGGACGGGUGAGUAAUACAUCGGAACGUGCCCGAUCGUGGGGGAUAACGAGGCGAAAGCUUUGCUAAUACCGCAUACGAUCUCCGGAUGAAAGCAGGGGACCGCAAGGCCUUGCGCGGACGGAGCGGCCGAUGGGAGAUUAGGUAGGUGGUGGGAUAAAAGCUUACCAAGGCGACGAUCGGUAGCUGGUCUGAGAGGAUGAUCAGCCACACUGGGACUGAGACACGGCCCAGACUCCUACGGGAGGCAGCAGUGGGGAAUUUUGGACAAUGGGCGCAAGCCUGAUCCAGCCAUGCCGCGUGCAGGAUGAAGGCCUUCGGGUUGUAAACUGCUUUUGUACGGAACGAAAAGCCUUCUUUUAAUACAGGAGGGUCAUGACGGUACCGUAAGAAUAAGCACCGGCUAACUACGUG